rnacentral:rRNA from 1 species
UACGUAGGGCGCAAGCGUUGUCCGGAAUUAUUGGGCGUAAAGAGCUCGUAGGCGGCCUGUCGCGUCUGCUGUGAAAUCCCGGGGCUUAACCCCGGGCGUGCAGUGGAUACGGGCUGGCUGGAGGCAGGCAGGGGAGAAUGGAAUUCCCGGUGUAGCGGUGAAAUGCGCAGAUAUCGGGAGGAACACCGGUGGCGAAGGCGGUUCUCUGGGCCUGUUCUGACGCUGAGGAGCGAAAGCGUGGGGAGCAAACAGG